rnacentral:rRNA from 1 species
CAGCACCUCAAGUGGUCAGGAUGAUUAUUGGGCCUAAAGCAUCCGUAGCCGGCUCUGUAAGUUUUCGGUUAAAUCUGUAUGCUCAACAUACAGGCUGCCGGGAAUACUGCAGAUCUAGGGAGUGGGAGAGGUAGACGGUACUCGGUAGGAAGGGGUAAAAUCCUUUGAUCUAUUGAUGACCACCUGUGGCGAAGGCGGUCUACCAGAACACGUCUGACGGUGAGGGAUGAAAGCUGGGGGAGCAAACCGGAUUAGAUACCCGAGUAGUCC